rnacentral:rRNA from 1 species
UACGUAGGGUGCGAGCGUUGCCCGGAUUUAUUGGGCGUAAAGGGCGCGCAGGCGGCUACGCACGUCCGUUGUGAAAUCGCUCGGCUCAACUGGGCGGGGUCAGCGGAUACGGCGUAGCUGGAGCAAGCUAGGGGGCAAUGGAAUUCCCGGUGUAGUGGUGGAAUGCGUAGAUAUCGGGAGGAACACCAGUGGCGAAGGCGGUUGCCUGGAGCUUUGCUGACGCUGAGGCGCGAAAGCUAGGGGAGCGAACGGG